CCGGCAGCGUGAUGCCAUACUUCGGGAGCAGCAGCAGCAGCAGUAGCAGAAGCAGAAGAAGAAGAAGAAGAAGACGAAGAAGAAGUAGAAGUAGAAGAAGCAGCGACGGCAGCAUCGUCUCAGAGUCUGAGGCCUGGCGCGCAGUCGCCCAAACACAUCGGCCCCAAAACCACCACCAUAAGCCUGACCACCACCACCACCACCACCUACUACCUUAACACCACUGCCUACCAACCCUCGAAGGCACACCAUCGGUGCAGGACGAUAACGAGGAAGCUUCGGUAGAUUCAACCGACGUCGCAAAGUCGGAGAGCGAUAAUGAUACCGAAACAGAAGACGUAAAGACACCUCCGGAAGAAACGAAGCCUAGUGAAACAG